CUGGGCAUGAUAAGUGGCGCCAUCUCUGAAACGAAGAGUGAACUUUCUCCGAUAAAAUAAUUCCGAAUGCAAUUUGAAAAUAAGCUAUAUCUUGGAAAGGGCAGGGUUUAGGACUUUUGCCUUGAUAUUUUGAAUGAUUUCUCUAUGCAGAAAAUCAGAAUGGUCUAUGGAAGAGGCUAGUGCAGGUCAAAUUGCGAUAGGGCACUUUCAAAAAAUCCCUUUACUUUUUACAACUUGCAGAUGGAAUGGAAAUAAUGGUAGAGAAAAUGGACCAUAACAGAAAAGGGAUAUCGAAGUAUAAAGGUGAAGGAGGACGGAAAGGAUGCUGUAAGGACGGAGGAGAGUAAGAGAGAGACAGAACUCAUUCACACUCUGGGAUAUACGCAGAAGGCAAAAGAAUAUCAACGUGUUUCACAUGAUAUCCAUGGCCACAAGGAAAUAAUGCUACGCCAUUAUUGUUCAGAAGGAUUGGAGUUUUUAGAGACAGUGUACAACAUGGGCACGAUAAUGAUUUGGCUUUACACUUCAUCCCCCAAUGAUGCGUAGUAGUUGACAGUUUUUCGACGUCCAUAGGUAUAUCAACGUCCUUUUCAAGCAUAUUCGCCAAAUGAGCAGCAACCUGCACAAAAUAGAAAGAGAUUUGAAAUACUUGUACCAUAUGAAUUGACACCAUUCAGUUAAUACUAGUACCACAUGAGUUGACACUAUAAGUGUGACUCGAUUGUUAAAAAUCAUUAAUCAUUAACGAUUUUAAAUAUUUUUAAGAUCUAUGCGAUUACUGCAUUAUGGAAAAUUGAAACACUGACCCAUGGACUUCAUGUUUUACUCACACAAUGGCGUUGACGAACAAAAAUCAAAUUGAGUUAAUACUUAGAGAAAUUAAUGAUAUAUUUAAUAUGACGGCGACGUGAGUUCAACUUACAAUAAACAUGCUGCUGCAGUUAUAAACGAAAUAUUAAAAUGAAGAUGCAUCUUAAA